CGGUAUAUUGACCGUGCGAAGGUAGCAUAAUAAUUAGUCUUUUAAUUGAAGACUGGAAUGAAAGGUUGAACAAGAAGUUAGCUGUCUCUAAAUUAAAUUUUGAAUUUAACAUUUAAGUGAAAAGGCUUAAAUAUUUUAAAGGGACGAUAAGACCCUAUAAAUCUUUAUACUUGAUUCUAUAGAGCAAAAUAUUAAAAUAAUUUUUGUUCAAUAGGUUUGGGUAUUUUGUUGGGGCGACAGGAGUAUAAAAUGUAACUGCUCUAAAAUGAUAGUUAGUUGAUAUUUAGUUAAGUGAUCCUUUAAUAAAGAUGUUAGUUUAAGUUACUUUAGGGAUAACAGCGUAAUUUUUUUUGAGAGUCCAUAUCGAAAAAAAAGUUUGCGACCUCGAUGUUGAAUUAAAGAUCCUUUACGGUGCAGAAG
rnacentral:rRNA from 1 species